rnacentral:rRNA from 1 species
UACGUAGGGUGCAAGCGUUGUCCGGAAUUAUUGGGCGUAAAGAGCGUGUAGGCGGCCCGAUUAGUCCGCUGUGAAAGUCCAGGGCUCAACCCUGGAAUGCCGGUGGAUACUGCCGGGCUAGAGUCCGGAAGGGGCGAGUGGAAUUCCUGGUGUAGCGAUGAAAUGCGCAGAUAUCAGGAGGAACACCAAUGGCGAAGGCAGCUCGCUGGGACGGUACUGACGCUGAGACGCGAAAGCGUGGGGAGCAAACAGG